CGAGUUAACUGAACCUUCGGGGAACGUUAACGGCGUCGAGCGGCGGACGGGUGAGUAAUGCCUGGGAAAUUGCCCUGAUGUGGGGGAUAACCAUUGGAAACGAUGGCUAAUACCGCAUAAUAGCUUCGGCUCAAAGAGGGGGACCUUCGGGCCUCUCGCGUCAGGAUAUGCCCAGGUGGGAUUAGCUAGUUGGUGAGGUAAGGGCUCACCAAGGCGACGAUCCCUAGCUGGUCUGAGAGGAUGAUCAGCCACACUGGAACUGAGACACGGUCCAGACUCCUACGGGAGGCAGCAGUGGGGAAUAUUGCACAAUGGGCGCAAGCCUGAUGCAGCCAUGCCGCGUGUAUGAAGAAGGCCUUCGGGUUGUAAAGUACUUUCAGCAGUGAGGAAGGUGGUAGUGUUAAUAGCACUAUCAUUUGACGUUAGCUGCAGAAGAAGCACCGGCUAACUCCGUGCCAGCAGCCGCGGUAAUACGGAGGGUGCGAGCGUUAAUCGGAAUUACUGGGCGUAAAGCGCAUGCAGGUGGUUUGUUAAGUCAGAUGUGAAAGCCCGGGGCUCAACCUCGGAAUUGCAUUUGAAACUGGCAGACUAGAGUACUGUAGAGGGGGGUAGAAUUUCAGGUGUAGCGGUGAAAUGCGUAGAGAUCUGAAGGAAUACCGGUGGCGAAGGCGGCCCCCUGGACAGAUACUGACACUCAGAUGCGAAAGCGUGGGGAGCAAACAGGAUUAGAUACCCUGGUAGUCCACGCCGUAAACGAUGUCUACUUGGAGGUUGUGGCCUUGAGCCGUGGCUUUCGGAGCUAACGCGUUAAGUAGACCGCCUGGGGAGUACGGUCGCAAGAUUAAAACUCAAAUGAAUUGACGGGGGCCCGCACAAGCGGUGGAGCAUGUGGUUUAAUUCGAUGCAACGCGAAGAACCUUACCUACUCUUGACAUCCAGAGAACUUUCCAGAGAUGGAUUGGUGCCUUCGGGAACUCUGAGACAGGUGCUGCAUGGCUGUCGUCAGCUCGUGUUGUGAAAUGUUGGGUUAAGUCCCGCAACGAGCGCAACCCUUAUCCUUGUUUGCCAGCGAGUAAUGUCGGGAACUCCAGGGAAACUGCCGGUGAUAAACCGGAGGAAGGUGGGGACAACGUCAAGUCAUCAUGGCCCU
rnacentral:rRNA from 1 species